rnacentral:rRNA from 1 species
CAGUCGAACGAGCGAGAGGAGGUUUACUUUCUCAAGCGAGUGGCGAACGGGUGAGUAACGCGUGAGGAACCUGCCUCAAAGAGGGGGACAACAGUUGGAAACGACUGCUAAUACCGCAUAAGCCCACGACCCGGCAUCGGGUAGAGGGAAAAGGAGCAAUCCGCUUUGAGAUGGCCUCGCGUCCGAUUAGCUAGUUGGUGAGGUAAUGGCCCACCAAGGCGACGAUCGGUAGCCGGACUGAGAGGUUGAACGGCCACAUUGGGACUGAGACACGGCCCAGACUCCUACGGGAGGCAGCAGUGGGGAAUAUUGCACAAUGGGGGAAACCCUGAUGCAGCGACGCCGCGUGGAGGAAGAAGGUCUUCGGAUUGUAAACUCCUGUUGUUGAGGAAGAUAAUGACGGUACUCAACAAGGAAGUGACGGCUAACUACGUGCCAGCAGCCGCGGUAAAACGUAGGUCACAAGCGUUGUCCGGAAUUACUGGGUGUAAAGGGAGCGCAGGCGGGAAGACAAGUUGGAAGUGAAAUCCAUGGGCUCAACCCAUGAACUGCUUUCAAAACUGUUUUUCUUGAGUAGUGCAGAGGUAGGCGGAAUUCCCGGUGUAGCGGUGGAAUGCGUAGAUAUCGGGAGGAACACCAGUGGCGAAGGCGGCCUACUGGGCACCAACUGACGCUGAGGCUCGAAAGUGUGGGUAGCAAACAGGAUUAGAUACCCUGGUAGUCCACACUGUAAACGAUGAUUACUAGGUGUUGGAGGAUUGACCCCUUCAGUGCCGCAGUUAACACAAUAAGUAAUCCACCU